UACGAAGGGGGCUAGCGUUGUUCGGAAUCACUGGGCUUAAAGGGCGCGUAGGCGGGCAGCCAAGUCAGGGGUGAAAUCCUGGAGCUCAACUCCAGAACUGCCUUUGAUACUGGCGAUCUCGAGUCCGGGAGAGGUGAGUGGAACUGCGAGUGUAGAGGUGAAAUUCGUAGAUAUUCGCAAGAACACCAGUGGCGAAGGCGGCUCACUGGCCCGGUACUGACGCUGAGGUGCGAAAGCGUGGGGAGCAACAGGG
rnacentral:rRNA from 1 species